rnacentral:rRNA from 1 species
GAUGAACGCUGGCGGCGUGCCUAAUACAUGCAAGUCGAGCGAACAGACGAGGAGCUUGCUCCUUCGACGUUAGCGGCGGACGGGUGAGUAACACGUAGGUAACCUACCUAUAAGACUGGGAUAACUUCGGGAAACCGGAGCUAAUACCGGAUAAUAUUUCGAACCGCAUGGUUCGAUAGUGAAAGAUGGCUUUGCUAUCACUUAUAGAUGGACCUGCGCCGUAUUAGUUAGUUGGUAAGGUAACGGCUUACCAAGGCAACGAUACGUAGCCGACCUGAGAGGGUGAUCGGCCACACUGGAACUGAGACACGGUCCAGACUCCUACGGGAGGCAGCAGUAGGGAAUCUUCCGCAAUGGGCGAAAGCCUGACGGAGCAACGCCGCGUGAGUGAUGAAGGUCUUCGGAUCGUAAAACUCUGUUAUUAGGGAAGAACAAACGUGUAAGUAACUGUGCACGUCUUGACGGUACCUAAUCAGAAAGCCACGGCUAACUACGUG